rnacentral:rRNA from 1 species
GACGAACGCUGGCGGCGUGCUUAACACAUGCAAGUCGAACGGAAAGGCCCUGCUUUUGUGGGGUGCUCGAGUGGCGAACGGGUGAGUAACACGUGAGUAACCUGCCCUUGACUUUGGGAUAACUCCAGGAAACUGGGGCUAUUACCGGAUAGGAGCUCCUGCUGCAUGUUGGGGGUUGGAAAGUUUCGGGGGUUGGGGAUGGACUCGCGGCUUACCAGCUUGUUGGUGGGGUAGUGGCUUACCAAGGUUUUGACGGGUAGCCGGCCUGAGAGGGUGACCGGCCACAUUGGAACGGGGGAAGGGCCAGGACGCCUACGGGAGGAAGCAGGGGGAAAUAUGCAAAAAGGGGCGGAGGCAGGAGGAAGCAACGCCGGGUGGGGGAGGACGGCCUUCGGGUGGUAAACCGCUUGCGCCUGUGACGAAGCGUGGGUGAGGGAAAUGGGUAAAGAGGCACCGGCUAACUACGU